UACGUAGGGUGCAAGCGUUUGUCCGGAAUUAUUGGGCGUAAAGAGCUCGUAGGCGGUUUGUCGCGUCUGCUGUGAAAACUCGGGGGCUUAACCCCGGGCCUGCAGUGGGUACGGGCAGACUAGAGUGCGGUAGGGGAGACUGGAAUUCCUGGUGUAGCGGUGAAAUGCGCAGAUAUCGGGAGGAACACCAGUAGCGAAGGCGGCUCGCUGGGCCAUUCCUGACGCUGAGACGCGAAAGCUAGGGGAGCGAACAGG
rnacentral:rRNA from 1 species